AGCCUGUACCGGACGGCCGCUCGUUUCGCGAGAAAUGGGAGGAAAGUCCGAACACAUGCUUUCGCAAGAAAGCAGGAGGGUAGCGGGUAACGCCCGUCGGGAGCAAUCCUAGAGAUGAGAACAGAGACGAGUCUCUAUAGGUCGCAAGAUCGAUAGAGAGUGAAACGGCAAAAUUCUUACCUAUGUGCAAGGCCGUGUCCAUUCAGCCUAAAAACUGCGUGGAAGUGCCGCUCGAGGUUGGUGGCAACAUCAAUCCCAGAUAAAUGGUCGUCCACUCUCGACGCAAGUCGCGGAGAGACAGAAUUCGGCUUAUAGGUACAAGCACAUG
rnacentral:RNase_P_RNA from 1 species